UACGGGGGGGCAAGCGUUGUUCGGAAUUACUGGGCGUAAAGGGCUCGUAGGCGGCCAACUAAGUCGGACGUGAAAUCCCCAGGCUCAACCUGGGAACUGCGUCUGAUACUGGAUGGCUUGAAUCCGGGAGAGGGAUGCAGAAUUCCAGGUGUAGCGGUGAAAUGCGUAGAUAUCUGGAGGAAUACCGGUGGCGAAGGCGGCAUCCUGGACCGGCAUUGACGCUGAGGAGCGAAAGCCAGGGGAGCAAACGGG
rnacentral:rRNA from 1 species